rnacentral:tRNA from 2 species
AGAAACUUAGGAUAAUUUAGACCAGGAGCCUUCAAAGCCCCAAGUAGAAGUUAGAAUCUUCUAGUUUCUG